UACGUAGGUGGCGAGCGUUGUCCGGAUUUACUGGGCGUAAAGGGCGCGUAGGCGGCGCAACAAGUCACUUGUGAAAUCUCCGGGCUUAACCCGGAGCGGCCAAGUGAUACUGUCGUGCUAGAGUGCGGAAGGGGCUACUGGAAUUCUCGGUGUAGCGGUGAAAUGCGUAGAUAUCGAGAGGAACACCUGCGGCGAAGGCGGGUAGCUGGGCCGACACGUGACGCUGAGGCGCGAAAGCCAGGGGAGCGAACGGG
rnacentral:rRNA from 1 species